AUUGAACGCUGGCGGCAGGCUUAACACAUGCAAGUCGAGCGGAGAGAGGUAGCUUGCUACUGAUCUUAGCGGCGGACGGGUGAGUAAUGCUUAGGAAUCUGCCUAUUAGUGGGGGACAACAUUUCGAAAGGAAUGCUAAUACCGCAUACGUCCUACGGGAGAAAGCAGGGGAUCUUCGGACCUUGCGCUAAUAGAUGAGCCUAAGUCGGAUUAGCUAGUUGGUGGGGUAAAGGCCUACCAAGGCGACGAUCUGUAGCGGGUCGGAGAGGAUGAUCAGCCACACUGGGACUUAGACACGGCCCAGACUCCUACGGGAGGCAGCAGUGGGGAAUAUUGGACAAUGGGCGGAAGCCUGAUCCAGCCAUGCCGCGUGUGUGAAGAAGGCCUUUUGGUUGUAAAGCACUUUAAGCGAGGAGGAGGCUCUUAAGGUUAAUACCCUUGAUGAGUGGACGUUACUCGCGGAAUAAGCACCGGCUAACUCUGUGCCAGCCGCCGCUGUAAUAC
rnacentral:rRNA from 1 species